CAGCAGCCGCGGUAAUACGGAGGGUGCAAGCGUUAUCCGGAUUUAUUGGGUUUAAAGGGUCCGUAGGCGGACUUAUAAGUCAGUGGUAAAAGCCUGUCGCUUAACGAUAGAACUGCCAUUGAUACUGUAAGUCUUGAGUAUAUUUGAGGUAGCUGGAAUAAGUAGUGUAGCGGUGAAAUGCAUAGAUAUUACUUAGAACACCAAUUGCGAAGGCAGGUUACCAAGAUAUAACUGACGCUGAGGGACGAAAGCGUGGGUAGCGAACAGGAUUAGAUACCCGCGUAGUCCCUGUCUCUUAUAC
rnacentral:rRNA from 1 species